rnacentral:lncRNA from 1 species
AUGUAUAUGAAACAGUUAGAACAUGUAUACAAGUUUAUUUCAGACUAUUGUUAUAUUCCAUAGUAGCAGACUUGGCAUUCUUUAAAAGAACUGCACUUGAUUUCAGUUCAUAGCAAUGCAAAUGUGUAUUCAUUUUACAAGAAAGAAGAGCACACAGUGUAUCCUUAUUAAGAUCAGCCCUACACUCUGUAGCUAUUUUCUUUACUAAAGAAAAUGCCCUCUCACUGUCUGCAUUGCUGUUUGGCAAAACCAGUAAUGUUUUAGCAAGUUUUGACAAAACAAAAAAUCUUGGCUUGUUUUCAACUACCACUUUGUUAUUUUCAACUGAAAGGACCCUCUUUACUAUUUGGGUGGUUUUAGUUUUUCCACAGGAAUAACCUGAAGCUAUUUCACAGCUCAGGUAAACAGUCCUACAUUUUGACUUUUGGUUACAUUGAAAAAGACCGAUAAAACCGAAGGUCGCAUUACUUCUAAAUACCGGAAACAAUUCCGGUCAGAAAUCCGAGUGAAACGGGUAAUGUUAGAAAUUCCCGGGACCCGCCGGGUAAAGAAAAACUCCCGGGUGAGAGGUGAAAAUAACGGGUGUCACCCGCAAAAAACGGGUGAGUUGACAGGUAUGUAC